rnacentral:rRNA from 1 species
GACGAACGCUGGCGGCGUGCUUAAUACAUGCAAGUCAUAGGGGCUAAUUUCCUUCGGGAGAUUGGUCACUGGCGCACGGGUGCGUAACGCGUAAGUUAUCUGCCCUUGGGUCUGGCAUAACGUCGGGAAACCGGCGCUAAUUCCAGAUGAUAUCGUAAGAUCAAAGCCUUCGGGCGCCCAAGGAUGAGCUUGCGUCUGAUUAGCUUGUUGGCGGGGUAAUGGCCCACCAAGGCAACGAUCAGUAGCCGGUCUGAGAGGAUGAUCGGCCACAUUGGGACUGAGACACGGCCCAGACUCCUACGGGAGGCAGCAGUAAGGAAUAUUGCGCAAUGGACGAAAGUCUGACGCAGCAACGCCGCGUGCAGGAUGAAGGCCCUUUGGGUUGUAAACUGCUGUAGAAAGGGAAUAAUAGUUUGCCACGGGUGAACUUGAAGGUACCUUUAAAGUAAGCGCCGGCUAACUACGUG